rnacentral:rRNA from 1 species
UACGUAGGGUGCAAGCGUUGUCCGGAUUUAUUGGGCGUAAAGAGCUCGUAGGCGGUUUGUCGCGUCGGAUGUGAAAACCCAGGGGCUCAACCCUGGGCCUGCAUUCGAUACGGGCAGACUAGAGUAUGGCAGGGGAGACUGGAAUUCCUGGUGUAGCGGUGAAAUGCGCAGAUAUCAGGAGGAACACCGGUGGCGAAGGCGGGUCUCUGGGCCAACACUGACGCUCAUGCACGAAAGCGUGGGGAGCAAACAGG